ACUUCUGAUGCUUCAUCAUUAACUAAACACUUCCAGGAGUUACACACAACCUCGGUCCAGAAACACUGUGUAUGUGUGUGUGUGUGUGUGUGUGUGUGUUCUGGUAUUCAUCACGUUGUGGGGACAUGAAUCUGUUUACACAGUCACGUCAUGGGGACCUCUUGCGUUGUGGGGACCAAAAGUCAGGUCCCCAUAAGGGAAAGCCAUAUAAAUGAUUAGAGGAGCUGUUUUGAAGGUGAUGGGCGGAGUUUCAGCGAUGGCCCAUAACACACGUUUAUCCGUGAAUGUGUGAGUGUGAAGGGAGUGCUCAGCUGCGCCCCCAAACAUUUCUCAGCGGUACUGCGCGCGCUUCUUCACACACACGUUAUCUAUAUAUGGUAGGCCCCGCCCACUUCCUCGUCCUCAUUAGGAACGAUAUCAGCAGCAAUAUGAAAAUAUGCGUAUUAAGUGGACACUUCACACGGACAGACGAUAAGAAGACUUUACAGGAGAUACCGACUCGAGGAGAUUGUUUGAGAUUCGAGGAGAUUCUGAAGUUGUGCAGAGCAAAAAGUUAAAUAAAAGAUUGAAAUGCCACCACGAAUCAGCCCUCUUAAGGAUGCCAUGCAUCAUGUUGUCACGAAGUCUGACAAAACUAAAUUAGAGGUGAACUACAUCAAUGCGGUGAAAGGACGUGGAUUAUUUGCAAAAGGUUCCUUUUGCAAAGGAGAUUUUAUUGUGGAGUACAGGGGUGAGUUGAUCAAUUAUGCAGAGCUGGAGAGGAGAAGAAAACUCUACCACCCAUCCUGUGCUGUUUUUAUGUUCGAGUUUAAGUGGAGAGGGAAAACAUGGUGGUAAGAAGUCACAUUGCACCAAAGCUAUAUUCCUUUUGCUAAAAUAAGGCCACAUUUACACUACAGGUCUUCAUGACCAAUUCUGAUUUUGUGAAUGUAUCCUUUUUUUGACAACGUGCUUAGAUUUUUUUUUUUUAAGAGUGACACUUAUCCAGUGUGUGCAUUUUAAACGGCAUUUGGUGACAAUCUAAAAAAAAAAACUGUUACAGUUUCAAUUUCAAUAGUACAUUCAUUGUCUUAUGAAACUAGUUUGACCAGUUAACAGUUGGCUAAGGGGUAAUUAGUCCUGAAUUAGGCCUGAAACUGAUCUGAUAAUAUCUGAAUCCAUGCUCUUCAUUUUCCUUAUUAAACGCUGGUGACUCUUAUCUGAUCUGUGCCACAUGGGAUGAAGAAAACUGGAAUUGGGUCAAUUGAACCAUGCAGUGUAAAUGCAGCCUAAGACACUGAUUUGUGUUGAUGCAUUAUAACACUUGUAUUUAUCCUUUUCCCUUUUUU